rnacentral:rRNA from 1 species
UGGGGGAUAUUGCGCAAUGGGGGAAACCCUGACGCAGCAACGCCGCGUGAAGGAAGAAGGUCUUCGGAUUGUAAACUUUUUUGACGAGGGACGAAAAAAAUGACGGUACCUCGAAAACAAGCUCCGGCUAACUACGUGCCAGCAGCCGCGGUAAUACGUAGGGAGCGAGCGUUGUCCGGAAUUACUGGGUGUAAAGG